AUAAGCGUUAAGCAUGUUAAUAAUAAAAAUAUACAGGAAAAUAUUUGAUUCCUUUCGUAAAUGUUUCUAAAAUAACGUUUUCAAUUAGAAAGCUUAAUAAUUAGGUGUCGUGUAAAAAUUAAUUUGCCACAUUAAUGUCUUAAAAACUAAGGAAUUGUCUAGAAAUAUAAAUGUUGUUAUUAUAAGAAUUUGUAAUGAAGUAAAACUGUUUUGAAUGUGUUUUUUAAAUUUAAAAUGUUUUUGAAAAUAAAACUGUGAAAUUUUUAACGUUUAGUUAAAUACAGUAAACAAUUAAGUUAAAGGAUAUUUCACACAAAGCAUUCUGAGGUUAUUAAUAAACUUUAAGACUCUUGCGGGUACCAUUUUAUGAGGAAUUUGAAAUAGACUCGAAAUCAUUUCAUAAUGCGUAGUCUGAAUUUUGUGACGUAUCAUAGUAUAUGAUUUAAUGUAUACGACUAGACAUUAAAGCCAGAGACUAUUUCAACUGCCAAACAUAGUUUAAAAAUAGAGCUAAGCCGUACUUUGACUGCCACAUUCAUAAUUUAGUCUGUGAUUAUUUGCGCUUUGUGUAAAAUAAUCCUGAAAAUAUUUCCCGUCAUUUUUUAAAUUGUAAAGUUCUAAAGUGCCUAGUUUCUUAGAAAUGUAAAAACGGUUCAUAGAUUUCAGUUUAUGUUAGCUAUUUUCGGAUUAAUUUUAGACGUUCCUAAACCGUUAGACAGCUUUGAAACUAAAUGUGUCAAACGCUAUUUAUUAGAGCCAAUGUUGGGUAUUUGUAAGUUUUGUAAGAGCGUGGACUGUAAUUUCUAAAGCAAAUCGCAGGAAUGGAGAUAGGUCACUUUGCCUAUUAGCUAAAAAGAUGCCAAAAAGUAUUCUAAGCAAAAGCAAGUUGGAUUUAGACUAAUAAGUGCCAAAUUAUAAAGUGCCCUGUUUCCUUUUCUUGAUUUGCAAAACUACCACUUCGGUAGCUUAUGAGGUUUUUAAUAAAUGAAAUACAUAGAAA